CACGUCUAUGUACAAACAAAAAUUGUUGAAAUGACAAAAGAUAACCAAACAUCAAACCAGAAGUGUCAUCCAGUUAAGAACCACCCCACGAUCAGACAUCUGGAAAUUGAAGAGUAUAUCUAUAAGCACGGGAAACUCUAGGUAGAAGAGAAAAUGUAUAGAAAUAAAAAUACUAUUAUGUACUCCCUUUGCCACCCUCGAUUAACACAAUAUCAAUGACUCAUCAAAGAUCUGUCCGCGUCCAAAAACCAGACCAAGAUAGCCCCCACAUUAAGCUCCUACAGUGAUGGAAUCAAAACCUAUUUUGUAUCUCCUGUCACAGGGUAGGCCCAAAACAAUAUCCAAGUCUAUAUAACAACAAAAGAAUAUAAUAGAGAGAUCAAAUGCAACCAAUUAUGAACCCAGAACUGCCUUCCAGUUAAGCUUGAUUAAGAACCAAACAACGAUCAGGCAUCUGGAAAUCGAAGAGAAUAACAAUAAGCACGGGAAAGUCAAGAUGGAAGAUAAAUUGUAGCAGAAUUAAUACAAUACUAUACUCCCUCUGACACCCUCGAUAAACAUUAUAUCAGUGACAGCAUCAAAAGUUGAUGUCUCCAGUAACUAGACCAAGAUUAGCCCCACCAUAAGCUGCUUCUUUCACAACUUAAUUUUUAACUCCUGUCACAAGGUGAGGCAGAAAACAAUAUCCACGUCUACGUAACAAAUAAAAGAUUGUUGAAACUGACAAAAGAUAACCAAGCAUACCAGAAGUGCCUUCCAGUUAAGAACCACACAACAAUCAGACAUCUGGAAAUUGAAGAGUAUAACUAUUAGCACGGGAAACUCUAGGUAGAAGAGAAAAUGUAGGUAGAAAAAAAAUACUAUUAGUACUCCCUUUACCACCCACUAUUAACACUAUAUCAAUGACAGCAUGAAGGAUUUGUCAGUGUCCAAAAACCAGACCAAGACAGCCCCCACCUUAAGCUCCUACUUGAUAGAAUCAGAACCUAUUUUGUAUCUCCUAUCACAGGGUGAGGCUGAAACCAACAUCCGAGUCUAAAUAACAACAAAAGAACUACAAUAGAGAGAGCAAAGGUAACCAACUAUCAAACCCGAACUGCCGUCCAGUUAAGCUUGAUUAAGAACCACACAACGAUCGGGCAUCUGGAAAUGAAGAGAAUAACGAUAAGCACCGGAAGGUCUAGAUGGAAGAUAAAUUGUAUAGAAGAAAUACUAUACUAUACUCCCUCUGCCACCCUCGAUAAACACACUAUAUAGUGACCACGUCAAAGGAUUGACUUGUGUGCAAUAACUUGACUAAGAUUAGCCCUACCUUAAGCUCCUACUUGAUAAAAUUAAAACUUAAUUUUUAUCUCAUGUCAUAGGGUGGGGCAGAAAACAAUAUCCACGUCUAUGUAGCAAACAAAAUUGUUGAACUGACAAAAGAUAACCAAACAUCAAACAGAAGUGUCUCCAGUUAAGAACCACCCCACGAUCAGACAUCUGGAAAUUGAAGAGUAUAUCUAUAAGCACGGGAAACUCGAGGUAGAAGAGAAAAUGUAGUAGAAUAAAAAUACUAUUAUGUACUCCCUUUGCCACCCUCGAUUAACACAAUAUCAAUGACUACAUCAAAGAUCUGUCGCGUCCAAAAACCAGACCAAGAUAGCCCCCACAUUAAGCUCCUACAGUGAUGGAAUCAAAACCUAUUUUGUAUCUCCUGUCACAGGGUAGGCUCAAAACAAUAUCCAAGUCUAUAUAACAACAAAAGAAAUAUAAUAGAGAGAUCAAAUGCAACCAAUUAUGAACCCAGAACUGCCUUCCAGUUAAGCUUGAUUAAGAACCAAACAACGAUCAGGCAUCUGGAAAUCGAAGAGAAUAACAAUAAGCACGGGAAAGUCAAGAUGGAAGAUAAAUUGUAGCAGAAUUAAUACAAUACUAUACUCCCUCUGACACCCUCGAUAAACAUUAUAUCAGUGACAGCAUCAAAAGUUGAUAGUCUCCAUAACUAGACCAAGAUUAGCCCCACCAUAAGUGCUUCUUUCACAACUUAAUUUUUAACCCCUGUCACAAGGUGAGGCAGAAAACAAUAUCCACGUCUACGUAACAAAUAAAAGAUUGUUGAAACUGACAAAAGAUAACCAAGCAUACCAGAAGUGCCUUCCAGUUAAGAACCACACAACAUCAGACAUCUGGAAAUUGAAGAGUAUAUCUAUAGCACGGGAAAUUCUAGGUAGAAGAGAAAAUGUAGUAGAAAAAAAAUACUAUUAUGUACUCCCUUUCCACCCCGAUUAAACAUAUCAAUGACCAUAAGAUUGUCGGUCCAAAAACCAGACCAAGACAGCCCCCACCUUAAGCUCCUACUUUGAUAGAAUCAGAACCUAUUUUGUAUCUCCUAUCACAGGGUGAGGCUGAAACCAACAUCGAGUCUAAAUAACAACAAAAGAACUACAAUAGAGAAAGCAAAGGUAACCAACUAUCAAACCCGAACUGCCGUCCAGUUAAGCUUGAUUAAGAACCACACAACGAUCGGGCAUCUGGAAAUGGAAGAGAAUAACGAUAAGCACCGGAAGGUCUAGAUGGAAGAUAAAUUGUAUUAGAAGAAAUACUAUCUAUACUCCCUCUGCCACCCUCGAUAAACACACUAUAUCAGUGACCACGUCAAAGGAUUGACUUGUGUGCAAUAACUUGACUAAGAUUAGCCCUACUUAAGCUCCUACUUUGAUAAAAUUAAAACUUAAUUUUUAUCUCAUGUCAUAGGGUGGGGCAGAAAACAAUAUCCACGUCUAUGUACAAACAAAAUUGUUGAAAUGACAAAAGAUAACCAAACAUCAAACCAGAAG
rnacentral:lncRNA from 1 species